rnacentral:rRNA from 1 species
UACGUAGGGGGCAAGCGUUAUCCGGAAUCACUGGGUGUAAAGGGUGCGUAGGCGGUACGAUAAGUCAGAUGUGAAAACCAAGGGCUCAACCUUUGGACUGCAUUUGAAACUAUCGAACUAGAGUAUGGGAGAGGAAAGUGGAAUUCCUAGUGUAGCGGUGAAAUGCGUAGAUAUUAGGAGGAACACCAGUAGCGAAGGCGACUUUCUGGAACAUAACUGACGCUGAGGCACGAAAGCGUGGGGAGCGAACAGG